ACACUUCAAAAUAGUCUGCUCCUGCACCAGGUGUAGCUCCCUGGAACUCGGCUGGAACACCUCUCAGGAACCCUGUAAGAUGAGCUUGGAUGUUCUCCACCGAGUCCCAGUGCUUUCCCUUCAACUCUCUCUUCAGUCGUGGGAACAUAAAUAGUCUGCUCCUGCACCAGGUGUAGCUCCCUGGAACUCGGCUGGAACACCUCUCAGGAACCCUGUAAGAUGAGCUUGGAUGUUCUCCACCGAGUCCCAGUGCUUUCCCUUCAACUCUCUCUUCAGUCGUGGGAACAUAAAUAGUCUGCUCCUGCACCAGGUGUAGCUCCCUGGAACUCGGCUGGAACACCUCUCAGGAACCCUGUAAGAUGAGCUUGGAUGUUCUCCACCGAGUCCCAGUGCUUUCCCUUCAACUCUCUCUUCAGUCGUGGGAACAUAAAUAGUCUGCUCCUGCACCAGGUGUAGCUCCCUGGAACUCGGCUGGAACACCUCUCAGGAACCCUGUAAGAUGAGCUUGGAUGUUCUCCACCGAGUCCCAGUGCUUUCCCUUCAACUCUCUCUUCAUUCGUGGGAACAUAAAUAGUCUGCUCCUGCACCAGGUGUAGCUCCCUGGAACUCGGCUGGAACACCUCUCAGGAACCCUGUAAGAUGAGCUUGGAUGUUCUCCACCGAGUCCCAGUGCUUUCCCUUCAACUCUCUCUUCAGUCGUGGGAACAUAAAUAGUCUGCUCCUGCACCAGGUGUAGCUCCCUGGAACUCGGCUGGAACACCUCUCAGGAACCCUGUAAGAUGAGCUUGGAUGUUCUCCACCGAGUCCCAGUGCUUUCCCUUCAACUCUCUCUUCAGUCGUGGGAACAUAAAUAGUCUGCUCCUGCACCAGGUGUAGCACCCUGGAACGUCUCUCAGGAACCCUGUAAGAUGAGCUUGGAUGUUCUCCACCGAGUCCCAGUGCUUUCCCUUCAACUCUCUCUUCAUUCGUGGGAACAUAAAUAGUCUGCUCCUGCACCAGGUGUAGCUCCCUGGAACUCGGCUGGAACACCUCUCAGGAAUCCUGUAACAUGAGCUUGGAUGUUCUCCACCGAGUCCCAGUGCUUUCCCUUCAACUCUCUCUUCAGUCGUGGGAACAUAAAUAGUCUGCUCCUGCACCAGGUGUAGCUCCCUGGAACUCGGCUGGAACACCUCUCAGGAAUCCUGUAACAUGAGCUUGGAUGUUCUCCACCGAGUCCCAGUGCUUUCCCUUCAACUCUCUCUUCAGUCGUGGGAACAUAAAUAGUCUGCUCCUGCACCAGGUGUAGCUCCCUGGAACUCGGCUGGAACACCUCUCAGGAACCCUGUAAGAUGAGCUUGGAUGUUCUCCACCGAGUCCCAGUGCUUUCCCUUCAACUCUCUCUUCAGUCGUGGGAACAUAAAUAGUCUGCUCCUGCACCAGGUGUAGCACCCUGGAACGUCUCUCAGGAACCCUGUAAGAUGAGCUUGGAUGUUCUCCACCGAGUCCCAGUGCUUUCCCUUCAACUCUCUCUUCAUUCGUGGGAACAUAAAUAGUCUGCUCCUGCACCAGGUGUAGCUCCCUGGAACUCGGCUGGAACACCUCUCAGGAAUCCUGUAACAUGAGCUUGGAUGUUCUCCACCGAGUCCCAGUGCUUUCCCUUCAACUCUCUCUUCAGUCGUGGGAACAUAAAUAGUCUGCUCCUGCACCAGGUGUAGCUCCCUGGAACUCGGCUGGAACACCUCUCAGGAAUCCUGUAACAUGAGCUUGG